rnacentral:rRNA from 1 species
UACAGGGGGGGCAAGCGUUGUUCGGAAUUACUGGGCGUAAAGGGCUCGUAGGUGGCCAACUAAGUCAGACGUGAAAUCCCUCAGCUUAACUGGGGAACUGCGUCUGAUACUGGAUGGCUUGAGUUUGGGAGAGGGAUGCGGAAUUCCAGGUGUAGCGGUGAAAUGCGUAGAUAUCUGGAGGAACACCGAUGGCGAAGGCAGGUCACUGGGCCGCAACUGGCGCUGAGGAGCGAAAGCAUGGGGAGCGAACAGG